rnacentral:tRNA from 1 species
ACCUGGGUAGCUCAGUCGGUUGAGCAUCUGACUUCAGCUCAGAUCAUAAUCUCGCGGGUG